rnacentral:rRNA from 1 species
AUAGCGUAUAUUAAAGUUGUUGCAGUUAAAAAGCUCGUAGUUGAACCUUGGGCCUGGCUGGCCGGUCCGCCUCACCGCGUGCACUGGUCCGGCCGGGCCUUUCCUUCUGGGGAGCCGCAUGCCCUUCACUGGGUGUGUCGGGGAACCAGGACUUUUACUUUGAAAAAAUUAGAGUGUUCAAAGCAGGCCUUUGCUCGGAUACAUUAGCAUGGAAUAAUAGAAUAGGACGUGCGGUCCUAUUUUGUUGGUUUCUAGAACCGCCGUAAUGAUUAAUAGGGAUAGUCGGGGGCAUCAGUAUUCAAUUGUCAGAGGUGAAAUUCUUGGAUUUAUUGAAGACUAACUAUUG